CCCUUAUACGUUAUAAAACUACGAAACUCGUUUUUUCAAAUGGAAACAUAUGUUUUUAAUUCCAUAAGUAUGUAGACAAUUUUUUUUAAAAAUUGUUAGCGUUUGAAUUUUCAAUUUUCAACUAUCUGUUCGUUUUCUGUGACUUAGUAAAGAUUUGAAAUUAAAAUCAAUAUUUGUUCGGUUUUUCAGCAGUAGCACUUUUAUUUGCCAGUAAAUAAUGAUAAUAUUGGACCCCAUCGAUAAUACUGUCACCGAUAAUGAGACAUAAAUAACUCUGGCUCUAAUUUUUUUUUAUUAUUAUAUGGACAAUCGAUUCUUAAUCUACCUGUUUGGAAACAAAUAUACCUUACAUAACCGUCAUCCGUUCACAUGUAUUAUCAGUAGACUGCGAUGUGGACGAUUUUGCCUUAAACCACUUUUACGGUAUGAUUAUAAUAUAGCGUUAAUAUUAUUAUCACAGUAUCAUUAUACUAUGGUAUGAGUAAAACUUAAAUUGUCAAACGACAAACAACGUGUACUCGUGAUUUGUGAACAGUUUUUUUUAUAUAUAAAGAAGAAACUAGUAUUGUGUUUUAAAAUGUCUAAUUGUGGUUAGUGACAUACAUUUUACAAUUUAUUUUGAAACUAUAAUGAAUGUAAUGAUUUCAUAAAUAUAAUUAGUUCUCAUUAGUAAUAGUGAAAUUUGUAUUUAAGACUUGGAAAACUCAACAUAACAACCAAGUUAUACAAUAUACCUACUGAUUUAUUUAAUACUAUACGUAAUAUAUUAUUAUUAUAUGGCCAAUUAACAGUUGUUAAUUAUAGUUUAACUGGAAUAAAUGUUGACGACUAACCGCAGGAAAGCUCAGGACAUUUUUUAAGAAGAUUACUGGAAAGAUAAUGAUGUGUUGAAACCUUAAUGUACAAUUUGUCACUGAUUACAAUAGUCAGUAUUGGUUUAUCAAGCUACAUAUCAAUAUGUCAUUUAUGAUUAUUCAGUUACUAGUUAGAUGAAGAAAAUAUUGCUUUCUACUUGGAAUCUUAGAAGAAUAAAAUAUUAGCAUUUAACACAACCAUACUCAACCAGCGGCCCCUGGGCUGCAUACAGCCCGCCGAUUAUUUUUAUGUGGCCCAAAAAGAACUCAUUAUAAAUAUUUAAAGGCUAUAAAAAAAAAAAAAUAUUAAUAUAAAAUAUAAGAAAACAAUUAUAUUUUCAAGAUGUGUAACGUUCGAGAUUGCAAUAAGGAUGUUAAAUUUUAACAUCAUAAUUAUUUGUCUCGAAUAAUAACUUGUAUAAGCAUUUUUAUUAGUACCAUUUAAUGUUAAAAAUAUUAGUUUCUUUUAGUCAAGUCACUCUAUAAUUAUAGUUGACUAUUCAUUUUUUUAA